AAGUCGAACGAAGUAGCAAUACUUAGUGGCAAACGGGUGAGUAUGAUGUGGGUAUCUGCCCUUUGGUAUGGAAUAACACGAGGAAACUUGUGCUAAUACUGUAUAAGCCUUCACAGGGAAAGCUUUAUGCGCCAAAGGAUGAGCCCGCACUUGAUUAGCUAGUUGGUAAGGUAAAAGCUUACCAAGGCAACGAUCAAUAGCUGAUCUGAGAGGAUGAUCAGCCACAUUGGGACUGAGACACGGCCCAAACUCCUACGGGAGGCAGCAGUGGGGAAUCUUGCACAAUGGGGGAAACCCUGAUGCAGCGAUGCCGCGUGAGUGAAGAAGGCCUUUGGGUUGUAAAGCUCUUUCGUCGGGGAAGAAAAUGACUGUACCCGAAUAAGAAGGUCCGGCUAACUUCGUGCCAGCAGCCGCGGUAAUACGAAGGGACCUAGCGUAGUUCGGAAUUACUGGGCUUAAAGAGCUCGUAGGUGGUUAGAAAAGUUAGUGGUGAAAUCCCAAGGCUUAACCUUGGAACUGCCACUAAAACUUUUUAACUAGAGUGUGAUAGAGGUAAGCGGAAUUUCUAGUGUAGAGGUGAAAUUCGUAGAUAUUAGAAAGAACACCAAUUGCGAAGGCAGCUUUCUGGAUCAUUACUGACACUGAGGAGCGAAAGCAUGGGUAGCGAAGAGGAUUAGAUACCCUCGUAGUCCAUGCCGUAAACGAUGUGUGCUAGACGUUGGAAAUUUAUUUUUCAGUGUCGCAGCAAAAGCGUUAAGCACACCGCCUGGGGAGUAC
rnacentral:rRNA from 1 species